rnacentral:rRNA from 1 species
CACAUGCAAGUCGAACGGUAACAGGAAGUGCUUGCACUUCGCUGACGAGUGGCGGACGGGUGAGUAAUGCUUGGGAACUUGCCUUUGCGAGGGGGAUAACAGUUGGAAACGACUGCUAAUACCGCAUAACGUCUACGGACCAAACGGGGCUUCGGCUCCGGCGCAAAGAGAGGCCCAAGUGAGAUUAGCUAGUUGGUAAGGUAAAGGCUUACCAAGGCAACGAUCUCUAGCUGUUCUGAGAGGAAGAUCAGCCACACUGGAACUGAGACACGGUCCAGACUCCUACGGGAGGCAGCAGUGGGGAAUAUUGCACAAUGGGGGAAACCCUGAUGCAGCCAUGCCGCGUGUGUGAAGAAGGCCUUCGGGUUGUAAAGCACUUUCAGUUGUGAGGAAAAGUUAGUAGUUAAUACCUGCUAGCCGUGACGUUAACAACAGAAGAAGCACCGGCUAACUCCGUGCCAGCAGCCGCGGUAAUACGGAGGGUGCGAGCGUUAAUCGGAAUUACUGGGCGUAAAGCGCACGCAGGCGGUUUGUUAAGCUAGAUGUGAAAGCCCCGGGCUCAACCUGGGAUGGUCAUUUAGAACUGGCAGACUAGAGUCUUGGAGAGGGGAGUGGAAUUCCAGGUGUAGCGGUGAAAUGCGUAGAUAUCUGGAGGAACAUCAGUGGCGAAGGCGACUCCCUG